rnacentral:rRNA from 1 species
GAUGAACGCUGGCGGCGUGCCUAAUACAUGCAAGUCGAGCGAACAGACGAGGAGCUUGCUCCUCUGACGUUAGCGGCGGACGGGUGAGUAACACGUGGAUAACCUACCUAUAAGACUGGGAUAACUUCGGGAAACCGGAGCUAAUACCGGAUAAUAUAUUGAACCGCAUGGUUCAAUAGUGAAAGACGGUUUUGCUGUCACUUAUAGAUGGAUCCGCGCCGCAUUAGCUAGUUGGUAAGGUAACGGCUUACCAAGGCAACGAUGCGUAGCCGACCUGAGAGGGUGAUCGGCCACCCUGGAACUGAGACACGGUCCAGACUCCUACGGAGGCAGCAGUAGGGAAUCUUCCGCAAUGGGCGAAAGCCUGACGGAGCAACGCCGCGUGAGUGAUGAAGGUCUUCGGAUCGUAAAACUCUGUUAUUAGGGAAGAACAAAUGUGUAAGUAACUAUGCACGUCUUGACGGUACCUAAUCAGAAAGCCACGGCUAACUACGUG